rnacentral:rRNA from 1 species
UACGUAGGGGGCAAGCGUUGUCCGGAAUCAUUGGGCGUAAAGCGCGUGUAGGCGGCUCGAUAAGUCUGCUGUGAAAGUUCAGGGCUCAACCCUGAAAUGCCGGUGGAAACUGUCGAGCUAGAGUCCGGAAGAGGCGAGUGGAAUUCCUGGUGUAGCGGUGAAAUGCGCAGAUAUCAGGAGGAACACCAAUGGCGAAGGCAGCUCGCUGGGACGGUACUGACGCUGAGACGCGAAAGCGUGGGGGAGCAAACAGG